rnacentral:rRNA from 1 species
CCCUUAGAGUUUGAUCCUGGCUCAGGAUGAACGCUAGCUGGAGGCUUAAUACAUGCAAGUCGAGCGGGAUUGGUCAGCAAUGGCCAUGAGAGCGGCGCACGGGUGAGUAACGCGUACACGACCUACCUCUAACAGGGGGAUAGCCCUGGGAAACUGGGAUUAAUACCGCAUAUAAUUCUGAUUUUAAAAGUUCAGGAUGAAAGUUCAGGCGGUUAGAGAUGGGUGUGCGUCUGAUUAGCUAGUUGGUAAGGUAACGGCUUACCAAGGCGAUGAUCAGUAGGGGGCGUGAGAGCGUGGACCCCCACACGGGUACUGAGACACGGACCCGACUCCUACGGGAGGCAGCAGUAAGGAAUAUUGGACAAUGGCCGCAAGGCUGAUCCAGCCAUCCAGCGUGCAGGAAGAAGGCCCUAUGGGUUGUAAACUGCUUUUGUCAGGGAAUAAACCUGUGGAUUUACUCCGCAGCUGAAGGUACCUGAAGAAUAAGCACCGGCUAACUCCGUGCCAGCAGCCGCGGUAAUACGGAGGGUGCGAGCGUUAUCCGGAAUUACUGGGUUUAAAGGGUGCGUAGGCGGCUUUGUAAGUCAGGAGUGAAAGUUUGCGGCUCAACCGUAAAAUUGCUUUUGAUACUGCGAGGCUAGAAUUAGGAUGAGGUCAGCGGAAUGUGCCAUGUAGCGGUGAAAUGCAUAGAUAUGCCAUAGAACACCAAUUGCGAAAGCAGCUGGCUAGACCUGUAUUGACGCUGAGCACGAAAGCGUGGGGAGCGAACAGAUAGAUACCCUGGUAGUCCACGCCCUA